AUUGAACGCUGGCGGCAGGCCUAACACAUGCAAGUCGAGCGAGCGGCGGACGGGUGAGUAAUGUAUGGGGACUGCCCGAUAGAGGGGGAUAACUACUGGAAACGGUGGCUAAUACCGAAUAUUAUCGGAUAACCUUGAUGGGUUUAGCUAGUAGGUGGGGUAAAGGCUCACCUUGGCGACGAUCUCUAGCGGGUCUGAGAGGAGUAUGACCCACACUGGACCUGAGACACGGCCCAGACUCCUACGGAGGCAGCAGUGGGGAAUAUUGCACAUGGGGCGCAAGCCUGAUGCAGCCAUGCCGCGUGUAUGAAGAGGGCCUGGGGGUUGUAAAGUACUUUCAGCGGGGAGGCGUUACCCGCAGAGGAAGCACCGGCUAACUCCGUGCCAGCAGCCGCGGUAAUUG
rnacentral:rRNA from 1 species